UACGGAGGGUGCAAGCGUUAAUCGGAAUUACUGGGCGUAAAGCGCGCGCAGGGGGUCAAUUAAGUCAGAUGUGAAAGCCCCGGGCUUAACCUGGGAAUGGCAUCUGAAACUGGUUGGCUAGAGUGCUGUAGAGGAAGGUAGAAUUCCCUGUGUAGCGGUGAAAUGCGUAGAGAUGUGGAGGAAUACCAGUGGCGAAGGCGACUUUCUGGACUUAAACUGACACUGAGGUACGAAAGCGUGGGUAGCAAACAGG
rnacentral:rRNA from 1 species